rnacentral:rRNA from 1 species
GAUGAACGCUGGCGGCGUGCCUAAUACAUGCAAGUCGAGCGAACGGACGAGAAGCUUGCUUUUCUGAUGUUAGCGGCGGACGGGUGAGUAACACGUGGAUAACCUACCUAUAAGACUGGGAUAACUUCGGGAAACCGGAGCUAAUACCGGAUAAUAUUUUGAACCGCAUGGUUCAAAAGUGAAAGACGGUCUUGCUGUCACUUAUAGAUGGAUCCGCGCUGCAUUAGCUAGUUGGUAAGGUAACGGCUUACCAAGGCAACGAUGCAUAGCCGACCUGAGAGGGUGAUCGGCCACACUGGAACUGAGACACGGUCCAGACUCCUACGGGAGGCAGCAGUAGGGAAUCUUCCGCAAUGGGCGAAAGCCUGACGGAGCAACGCCGCGUGAGUGAUGAAGGUCUUCGGAUCGUAAAACUCUGUUAUUAGGGAAGAACAUAUGUGUAAGUAACUGUGCACAUCUUGACGGUACCUAAUCAGAAAGCCACGGCUAACUACGUGCCAGCAGCCGCGGUAAUACGUAGGUGGCAAGCGUUAUCCGGAAUUAUUGGGCGUAAAGCGCGCGUAGGCGGUUUUUUAAGUCUGAUGUGAAAGCCCACGGCUCAACCGUGGAGGGUCAUUGGAAACUGGAAAACUUGAGUGCAGAAGAGGAAAGUGGAAUUCCAUGUGUAGCGGUGAAAUGCGCAGAGAUGUGGAGGAACACCAGUGGCGAAGGCGACUUUCUGGUCUGUAACUGACGCUGAUGUGCGAAAGCGUGGGGAUCAAACAGGAUUAGAUACCCUGGUAGUCCACGCCGUAAACGAUGAGUGCUAAGUGUUAGGGGGUUUCCGCCCCUUAGUGCUGCAGCUAACGCAUUAAGCACUCCGCCUGGGGAGUACGACCGCAAGGUUGAAACUCAAAGGAAUUGACGGGGGCCCGCACAAGCGGUGGAGCAUGUGGUUUAAUUCGAAGCAACGCGAAGAACCUUACCAAAUCUUGACAUCCUUUGACAACUCUAGAGAUAGAGCCUUCCCCUUCGGGGGACAAAGUGACAGGUGGUGCAUGGUUGUCGUCAGCUCGUGUCGUGAGAUGUUGGGUUAAGUCCCGCAACGAGCGCAACCCUUAAGCUUAGUUGCCAUCAUUAAGUUGGGCACUCUAAGUUGACUGCCGGUGACAAACCGGAGGAAGGUGGGGAUGACGUCAAAUCAUCAUGCCCCUUAUGAUUUGGGCUACACACGUGCUACAAUGGACAAUACAAAGGGCAGCGAAACCGUGAGGUCAAGCAAAUCCCAUAAAUUUGUUCUCAGUUCGGAUUGUAGUCUGCAACUCGACUACAUGAAGCUGGAAUCGCUAGUAAUCGUAGAUCAGCAUGCUACGGUGAAUACGUUCCCGGGUCU